AAGCACCCCCAGAACUUGGGAUGCCACUGGAUCAUGGCUCUGGCCACCCCAGAGAGCCCCAGACCCAGGCCACACCUGCGUGGGCGGGCGGCAAGGUGGGAAAUGCGGGGCUCUGCGGGGUUCCCUCAAGCCGACCCACCGUGGAACACAGCAGAGGGUGGAGGGUGGGUGCUGUUCCAGUGGUCCUCACCGCGCCCUGCGGGCUGAUCAGUAUUAUCUGUUUUACAGCUCCCAGAAGCCCAAGGAGGACACCCCCAGGACCCAGGAGGCAACAAAUGCAAAAAGCAUUUGUGUGCAGGCCUCACGCUUGGGGGACCUGGGGAUGCUGACUGUUCAUCAGUGGCAAAGCUUUGCAGAGAAGUGGGUGCCGCAGAAAUCCCCUGGUGCUAAAUACAUCCACAGGGGCAUGUGAUGUAACGGUCCGUGCAAGGACACGGAUGACCCUGGAAAACAGUAGGGAAAGUGAAGGCCUCCUAUCGUGUGAUUCCAUUUUUCUUUUUAAUGAUUUUAUUUAUUUAUUCAUGAGAGGCACAGAGAGAGAGGCAGAGACACAGGCAGGCUCCAUGCAGGGAGCCCGAUGUGGGACUGGAUCCUGGGACCCUGGGAUCACGACCUGAGCCAAAGGCAGAUGCGAAACCACUGAGCCACCCAGGUGCUCCUUGUGUGAUUCCAUUUAUACAAAAUAUCUGGGACAGGCAAAUCCGUAGAGGCCGAUGUGCAUUUCUGGUUGCUGGGGCUGAGGCCAGGGGUGAAUGCUGAGUGAGGGUGAAUGGGCAUAGGUGAGAAGAAUGUUCUGGAACUAGGUAGUGGUUAUGGUUGGACAACCAUGUGAAUGUCCUAAAAACUACUGAAUUGUACAGUCUUUAUGUCAAAAAGAAAAAAAAACUCCCAGCGUGAGGGUCUUCAAAGUCUGGAAGCUUCCCAGGAUUCCCUGACAUUCCUAGAAUAACUUUCACAAGGUCCUUCAACGAGUAAGGGGCAAGGGCAACAUGUAAGCCAAACCCUGCCUGACCCUGAACAGCCUGCUUCUCUUCCAUCGAUGUCAGGCUCAGCCGGUCCCCGAACCCCUCAGCAACGCUUGUCUGUGCAGGCAGCCAGGUCCUUCCCGCUCACGACUCGCUUGGGUUUUCUACACCGAGGAGUCGGGGUCGGGCUUAGCACGAGAUAGGACUAGGAGAGGGAGUCGGCAGUGUGGACUCAGGAAGGCCUGUGGGGCUUGGGGUGGCCGGGGGCAGGGGGCCACCCUGGAGGGCUUAAGGACACUUCCUUAAGAUGCUCAUCAUCUCCCAGAGGCCACGUUCCCACUUUUAGGCCUUCAUACCGGUUGUUCCGCCUUCCUGGGCCCCACUUCCCCAGUAUAGCUAAACCCUUCACCUCCUUGCGUCUUACCUCUGAACGAAGCCUAUGCUGACCACUCUAUUUUAACUUUUUUUUUUUUUAAGAUUUUAUUUAUUUAUACAUGAGAGACACGGAGAGAGAGGCAGAGAGAAAAGUAGGCUCCCUGUAAGGAACGUGAUGCGGGACUCGAUCCCAGGACCCCAGGAUCACGACCUAAGCCAAAGGCAGACAGACGCUCAACCACCGAGCCACCCGGGCGCCCCUGACCACUUUACCUUAAAUCACGCACGCACACACACAUGCGCACACAUUUGCCUCUGUCUUCCUACUCCUCACCUGCAGCUCAUCCUUCUCUACCAGACAUCACUUACUGGGGUAGGACUUUUGUCAUUUCUUUUCCAUUUCUCCCAGCUAGAACAUUAAACUCCACCAAGUGGAAAUCUUUGAUUUGCUAAUGUGGCCCGACGGCCCAGAACCAGUGCCUGACAUGUUGUGAUGCUCCACAAGCAGGGGGACAGAAGAAUUAACAGACUUGUGUUUUGUUCUGCGUGUCCCUGGUCUACCAGACACCCAGGGACCGACCACAUGCACACGUUUUGCUGAGCGCCCUGGGACACCUGCUUUGAGCUCAGCACCAGAAGCAAAAAUGCCAGUUUUCCAAAGUCGUUUACCUCUUCAUCUCCACGCAAGCCCAGCCCUUUGCUGAGAACACCACCUGAGAAUAUGACCCCCUGCUGUCUUCUUACAAAAGAGGGGUGCACAGUGGCUGACCAGCAUCCCCCCUGUGGACGCGUGAUGGCAGCCAGAGAGCCAACUCUUCUGAUCCAGAUGCCACAACGUGUCAGCAGCCAAGGGGCCCAGCUCCUCUGUGUGGUUUGGACCCCUCCUGAGACACCUGCUGGGAUGAAGGUGAGGAGGCCUUGGGAAGAAGUUUUCACAUUCCGAACAUCUAGUGCAUUACUUACUUCUCCUUUCCAAAAAUAGGACUUUAUUUCAGAUUGACUUUGUUCUCCUUCAAAGAGAAACCGCAUUUAAAUAAAAGCCUAAGUGCCACCUGCAGCGCUUCGGUGCAUGCGUGCGAGCAUGCGGCCGCACAAGUCCCUUCCGAGCCAGAGGCCUGUGGGGUUGGGGCAGGUGAACAGCCUCCUGCAAAGCUUUUCUCAGAAGGUUCUGAAUCUCCACUUGAGCCGCUGUGUGGGCCUCCUCUCCACCUCGAGUGCCCGGCUCUGCGGGGAGCUUCCUGGCAUGUGCCACACUCUUCUCCAAGGACAUGGGG